ACUCCUACGGGAGGCAGCAGUCGGGAAUCUUGCACAAUGGGCGAAAGCCUGAUGCAGCAACGCCGUGUGAGCGACGAAGGCCCUAGGGUCGUAAAGCUCUGUUGUUAGGGACGAAGGGCGAAGGGUUAAUAGCCCUUAGCCUGACGGUACCUUUCGAGGAAGCCCCGGCUAACUACGUGCCAGCAGCCGCGGUAAUACGUAGGGGGCGAGCGUUGUCCGGAAUUAUUGGGCGUAAAGGGCGCGUAGGCGGCCCGGUAAGUCUGCUGUGAAACCCUGGGGCUCAACCCCAGGCGUGCAGUGGAUACUGUCGGGCUAGAGGAUGGUAGAGGCCAGUGGAAUUCCCAGUGUAGCGGUGAAAUGCGCAGAUAUUGGGAGGAACACCAGUAGCGAAGGCGGCUGGCUGGGCCAUUCCUGACGCUGAGGCGCGAAAGCUAGGGGAGCGAACAGGAUUAGAUACCCUGUAGGCUCUG
rnacentral:rRNA from 1 species